rnacentral:rRNA from 1 species
CCAGCAGCUGCGGUAAUUCCAGCUCUUCUAGCAUAUAUUAAAAUUGCUGCAGUUAAAACGCUCGUAGUUUGAAGUAUUGGCGUUGGACGGGUGGGAUGUGCCGCGAAAGUGGCCGCCCGUAACCGGCUCAAUGCCAUUAAAAACACCCUCGUGGGCUCUUUUUAAGUAAAGGGUCCACGACAUAACCAUGAACAAAAAUUGGCGCUCAACACAGGACCUCAGGUCUAUUGAGAUUUCAGCAUGGGAUUAUAGAAUAUGGAAAGGCUGAUCCGGGUCCCACGGGGCCCGCCGAGAGGCACUUUCAAUGGUUAAUGAGGACGAUGCGUGGAAGUUCAUAUUAGAGUGUCAGAGGUGAAAUUCUUGGAUUACUCUACGAUGAACAUCAGCGAAGGCAUCCUUCAAGUGCGUGCCUGUCAAUCAAGAACGAAAGU